rnacentral:lncRNA from 1 species
GAAGGGGGGAGUUGAGUCAACUAAAGCUUUAUAUGUUAUGAUUGAUACAUAGAUAAUAGACCCUUGAUACAAGACUAAGAGCAUGAUUAAUGUAUGUUUCAGUUAGGCAAGAAGUUAGGAAGCAAGAAGAACAAGCCCCCUACUGCCUACCGUAAAGUUUUGGAGGUGUAUCAGGACCGUGCCGGAUUGGCAGGUGAGUGGGAGUCAUGUACUUUGCACCAUAAGCAUUCUUAAUUUAUUUUCAUGAAUGUCGCCAAGUGUUAAUUGAUUCCACUUGAGCAUAUUGAUUGAUAUUAUAGUAGAUUACUCUAUAAUCUUGUUUCUCCAUG